rnacentral:rRNA from 1 species
AGUGAACGCUGGCGGUAGGCCUAACACAUGCAAGUCGAACGGCAGCACAGUAAGAGCUUGCUCUUACGGGUGGCGAGUGGCGGACGGGUGAGGAAUACAUCGGAAUCUACUUUUUCGUGGGGGAUAACGUAGGGAAACUUACGCUAAUACCGCAUACGACCUACGGGUGAAAGCAGGGGAUCUUCGGACCUUGCGCGAUUGAAUGAGCCGAUGUCGGAUUAGCUAGUUGGCGGGGUAAAGGCCCACCAAGGCGACGAUCCGUAGCUGGUCUGAGAGGAUGAUAAGCCACACUGGAACUGAGAAACGGUCCAGACUCCUACGGGAGGCAGCAGUGGGGAAUAUUGGCCAAUGGGCGCAAGCCUGAUCCAGCCAUACCGCGUGGGUGAAGAAGGCCUUCGGGUUGUAAAGCCCUUUUGUUGGGAAAGAAAAGCAGCAGGUUAAUACCCCGCUGUUCUGACGGUACCCAAAGAAUAAGCACCGGCUAACUUCGU